CGAGAGCGUAUAUUAAAGUUGUUGCAGUUAAACCGCUCGUAGUUGGGUGUCUGCCCAGGGCGUCCGGUCCGCCCGCUGGGUGUGUAUCUGGCUUGGCCUGGGCAUCUCCCUGGGGGCUGUCACGGUGCUUGACUGUGUGGUGUGGCACUCAGGGCUUUUACUUUGAGGAAAUUAGAGUGCUUCAAGCAGGCCCACACCAUGAAUACCAGAGCAUGGAAUAACAAGGGAGGGUGCAGGCUCUAUUUGUUGGUUUCCUAGAGCUGUGGUAAUGUUUACUGGGGACAGCUGGGGGCAUCUGUAUUUAGCUGUCAGAGGUGAAAUUCUUGGAUUUGCCAAAGACAGACUUCUGCGAAAGCAUUUGCCAGGCAUGUUUUCAUUGAUCAAGAACGAAAGUUAGGGGAUCGAAGAUGAUCAGAUACCAU
rnacentral:rRNA from 1 species